ACACUCCUACGGGAGGCAGCAGUGGGGAAUAUUGGACAAUGGGCGCAAGCCUGAUCCAGCCAUGCCGCGUGAGUGAUGAAGGCCCUAGGGUUGUAAAGCUCUUUCACCGGAGAAGAUAAUGACGGUAUCCGGAGAAGAAGCCCCGGCUAACUUCGUGCCAGCAGCCGCGGUAAUACGAAGGGGGCUAGCGUUGUUCGGAAUUACUGGGCGUAAAGCGCACGUAGGCGGAUCGAUCAGUCAGGGGUGAAAUCCCAGGGCUCAACCCUGGAACUGCCUUUGAUACUGUCGAUCUGGAGUAUGGAAGAGGUGAGUGGAAUUCCGAGUGUAGAGGUGAAAUUCGUAGAUAUUCGGAGGAACACCAGUGGCGAAGGCGGCUCACUGGUCCAUUACUGACGCUGAGGUGCGAAAGCGUGGGGAGCAAACAGGAUUAGAAACCCCGGUAGUCCCAUGA
rnacentral:rRNA from 1 species